GGUAACGGUCCUUCUGAAAUUCAGUCAUCUUCUUUCCUGCCCCUUUUUUACAGGUUACUUGGAGUCACAACAGCCAGCACAGCAUUUCCACGGGACCCGCUCCAGCACACAGAGAGAAGGGCAGAGCCUCCCAGACCUCAGCACAGCUUUGGUGCCACAGGAGAGGAGUCCUUGGGGUGGCGAUCUCCCAGCCUUUAUAUAUAAUAAAGUAGUGCCCUCUGUUGGGAAGCUUUCCAGACAAAACCUGGUCUCAUGGCUGCAUCCAGAGUUAAUCUUUGCUCAAGACAAGGAUGUGCUGAUAAGACAUCUUACUUUGUGAGCUGGGGUUUCAAAAAAUCAGCAGUUUCACUCCAGUGAUUUUGUAGUUUGUCUUCUGGAUGUGUGGAAUAGAAACGAUGAACUAUUAAGACCAAAGAAGACAGAAGCCCAGAGGGGAAAAAGAUGAGCAAGUCAGAAUCUGAAACAACAUAGUCAGGAAACACAGAUGAUGUGGUUUCUGUAAAAAGCUUGUUUGUUCAGUUAGAGGGGAAGGGAAUUUGUGUAUGCAUAACUGCAGUUUAAUUAACUGUAGAAAUCACUGUGUAUAUACAAAAGGCAGAUUAAUUCAUUGGAUAGACUAUGUGUUUCAUUGACAGUGUUCAAUAUUAUAUUGAAUAUUAUACGAUAUAGGAAUAUACUAUUAUAGAUUUUAUAUGUGUGUGUGUCUGUAUGCUAUUGUGGACUCCAAAUCUAUGUGCGUAAGGUGGCAGAGGAGCUUGACAGAGAAAGGUCUGUGUAUGGAAAGUUGAAAGUGAUGGAAUAGAUAUUUUUUUUUUUAUUAUUACAUCCAAUCAUCCAGCUAGAUCUGUGGGUUUUAAAGUUGCGUUUCUAACCCUUCAGUAUAGCUAAGAAACACUUGAAGAUGGGACCUAUAGCUUCAGAAACGGUCGCCUGAUGUAAAGAUCUCUGUCUGUAAAAGCUAUUAUUUUUUUCAGUUGUCUAAAUUUUCCCUCUAGACCCCUUCUGCGCCAGGGCAGCAUGUGCAACAGGAGAUCAGCAGCUGCUGUAUUUUGAAUUAAGUAUGUAGAGAUGCUGUGCUAUUGCUCCUGCCCUCCGAAGGUGUCAAGAGUUUGGUGUUGCUUUCUCCGACUUCUUGCUUUUUCUUGCUUCUUGCAAGUAAGAAAUCAGCACAGCAUCCUGCAAGGAGCAAUGCGGGAAGCGGUUUCAUUCAGUGGAACAUAGACCCGAGCAGUAAUUAAUGUUCCUGCGUAAAGAUGGUUUUCUCUCAGCCGUAGACCAGGUUUAGAGGUUCUUCAUCACAGACAUUUUAUUCUCUCUGUUGUAUUCACUUUCCCUCCUGCUGAGCCCUUGUCAAGAGCUACGGAUGAGCUGCAUUCAUUGUUCUUUUUUAUCCAUGUUUGUACAAAAGCUGUAUUUUAAAGUGUAUAUAUUGUAUAAAAUGUGGUUGUAUCAAAUGUGUUUAUAAACUUUAAAGUUUAUAAACUUUACUUAUGAAAAGGGUUACAGACCGAGAUAUAAAAGACAUUUCUCUGGGCAGAAGACAGAUCUUCAUUUACGAUGGAUAAAUACAUUGUUGUUGCUCAAACGGAGCAGCAUGCAAGCUAUUCAUGGAAUGGCAUUCAUCUUUAAUAAAUAUUUUACAUAAUACA
rnacentral:lncRNA from 1 species